rnacentral:rRNA from 1 species
UACAGAGGUGGCAAGCGUUGUUCGGAAUUACUGGGCGUAAAGGGCUCGUAGGCGGUUUGUCGCGUCGGGAGUGAAAACCAUGGGCUUAACUCAUGGCUUGCUUUCGAUACGGGCAGACUAGAGGUAUGCAGGGGAGAACGGAAUUCCUGGUGUAGCGGUGAAAUGCGCAGAUAUCAGGAAGAACACCCGUGGCGAAGGCGGCUCUCUGGGACGGUACUGACGCUGAGACGCGAAAGCGUGGGGAGCGAACAGG